rnacentral:rRNA from 1 species
AACGAACGCUGGCGGCAGGCUUAACACAUGCAAGUCGAACGCUCGUAGCAAUACGGGAGUGGCGGACGGGUGAGUAACGCGUGGGAACGUGCCCUGAGGUACGGAAUAACUGCGGGAAACUGCAGCUAAUACCGUAUGAGCCCCGCAAGGGGGAAAGAUUUAUCGCCUUGGGAGCGGCCCGCGUCGGAUUAGCUAGUUGGUGGGGUAACGGCCUACCAAGGCUUCGAUCCGUAGCUGGUCUGAGAGGACGAUCAGCCACACUGGGACUGAGACACGGCCCAGACUCCUACGGGAGGCAGCAGUGGGGAAUCUUGCGCAAUGGGGGCAAGCCUGACCGAGCAACGCCGCGUGGAGGACGACGGCCUUCGGUUGUAACUACCUUUUGUCGGGGACGGAUUGUGACUGUACCCGCGAAUCAGGCUCGGCUAACUCUGUG